rnacentral:rRNA from 1 species
CUACGGGGGGCAGCAGUGGGGAAUAUUGCACAAUGGACGAAAGUCUGAUGCAGCAACGCCGCGUGGAGGAUGACACAUUUCGGUGCGUAAACUCCUUUUAUAGGUCAAGAUAAUGACGGUAGCCUAUGAAUAAGCGCCGGCUAACUCCGUGCCAGCAGCCGCGGUAAUACGGAGGGCGCAAGCGUUACUCGGAAUCACUGGGCGUAAAGAGCGUGUAGGCGGGUUAAUAAGUCAGAAGUGAAAUCCAAUGGCUCAACCAUUGAACUGCUUUUGAAACUGUUAACCUAGAGUAUGGGAGAGGUAGAUGGAAUUUCUGGUGUAGGGGUAAAAUCCGUAGAGAUCAGAAGGAAUACCGAUUGCGAAGGCGAUCUACUGGAACAUUACUGACGCUGAGACGCGAAAGCGUGGGGAGCAAACAGGAUUAGAUACCCUUGUAGUC